CACGUAGGGGGCGAGCGUUGUCCGGAAUCAUUGGGCGUAAAGAGCUCGUAGGCGGCUCAGUAAGUCGGGUGUGAAACCCCCAGGCUCAACCCUGGGGACGCCACUCGAUACUGCUGUGGCUAGAGUCCAGUAGAGGAGUGUGGAAUUCCCGGUGUAGCGGUGAAAUGCGUAGAUAUCGGAAGGAACACCAGUGGCGAAGGCGACUACCUGGCCUGUUCUUGACGCUGAGGCGACGAAAGCUAGGGGAGCAACGGG
rnacentral:rRNA from 1 species